GCGCCUGUAGCUCAAUUGGAUAGAGUGAUGGACUUCGAAUCCAGGGGUUGGGCGUUCGAAUCGCCCCAGGCGCA
rnacentral:tRNA from 1 species